rnacentral:rRNA from 1 species
AUUGAACGCUGGCGGCAUGCCUUACACAUGCAAGUCGAACGGCAGCACGGGUGCUUGCACCUGGUGGCGAGUGGCGAACGGGUGAGUAAUACAUCGGAACAUGUCCUGUAGUGGGGGAUAGCCCGGCGAAAGCCGGAUUAAUACCGCAUACGAUCUACGGAUGAAAGCGGGGGACCUUCGGGCCUCGCGCUAUAGGGUUGGCCGAUAGCUGAUUAGCUAGUUGGUGGAGUAAAGGCCUACCAAGGCGACGAUCAGUAGCUGGUCUGAGAGGACGACCAGCCACACUGGGACUGAGACACGGCCCAGACUCCUACGGGAGGCAGCAGUGGGGAAUUUUGGACAAUGGGCGAAAGCCUGAUCCAGCAAUGCCGCGUGUGUGAAGAAGGCCUUCGGGUUGUAAAGCACUUUUGUCCGGAAAGAAAUCCUUGGCUCUAAUACAGUCGGGGGAUGACGGUACCGGAAGAAUAAGCACCGGCUAACUACGUG